AUAUCAGAAAGGAAACAGCCAUGCACCUAAAGCAAGCACACACAUUAACUAAUUAUUAUUCUGGUUGUGUGGGUUAGGCACAGAACACAGAAAUUAGGCCAAAAAAUCUGGGCAUGAGUGCCGCAAAGGAUAAUCUUAGAUUAUCUGCUCUUUUCUUAAUGUUGCCAAUGUUGAUUUUUCUUCCACAAGAACAUUUCCUUCUAGAACAUUGGACCUGGAGUAUCUCUUUUCCUUGUUUGUUUUUUCUCUUUCUGGGUAGAAUAUAUUAAAACUAGUAUUGAUGUCCGUGCUGUCUCUUGUUUAUUUUUGUAUGCAAGUGCAGCUGUUAUGCCUAGAUAUUCCCGAUUAUUACAGCUGUAUUGUAUUCAAUCCCUAAUCAUGCUCAAGUAUUGUUCUUGCAGUUGGAGCAGAUUUUGGAUUACUCUAAGUCUAUACCCAUCCAGAUGUCUGAGCCAUUAAUAAUGUAAUGUCCAACCUCUCUUUGUUGUUGAUGCUGCUAUUUAUUUAUCCAUCUAGCAACGUGUAAUCUGUGUGCCGAGGCUUUUUUUGGGCGUUAAAAUGCAUUAUAAUAACUUUGUCGAGAAUUUUUAGACAAUCUGUUGUUUGGAUGCCUGUCUUUUCCUCAUUCAAGUUGCAAAACGGAUAUAUUCUGUGUUGUGUUAUAAAACAUAUGAACUGAUAGUCGACCUUCAUUGAAUAAGAAAGAAAAAUUAUCUAGAUUUAGUUUUCUCUUUAUUUAUACAUGGACCAUGGAGUAAUAUACUCCCUUGUUAUAGUUCUUUUCCACACUGACUUGAACAUAAACACAACAGAAUCUCAGGACUUUCAUAGCUUUACUUUUUUUAUGUGUUCUUGUGUACUUACUUCUACUUGACUUCUGUAUUAUUCUUCAUUGCCUCCCCACAUUUUUUUCUUAAAAUAAGUGUUUCCUGUCUAAUUUAUGUCCAUCACUCAUAUGCCUGCAAUCUAAACUGUAACAAGGAGAACACCCUUGGAAUCUGUCUACCGGUUAAUGAUCCAAGUAAUCUAUAUGAUUAAGAACCCAAGUAUACUACAAGUUUGUUCUGAUCAUGCUUGCUUAUGGGGUUAAUGUGGAUGAAGUCAAACCAUACUCUGCAAGACUAAGGCAGCUAGCUUGAGUAAGAUGCCCGAAUGUUAUGAUAAUUGAGUAAACAAAACCUACUUGCGUCACAAGGAGGAUUGGCUAUCGUUGGCUGCAGUUUGGUCUUCAUUUACAUGUGAGACAUUGAAACCUUCCUCUGAAAGCAACACGAAACUUAAUUUAUCGGUUCGAUGAACGACGACAAAUCCUGUCCCAGAUAGGUUUUAGAUUGGCACGCGGUGUCCCAUCUAACGUCGAGUUCUUAUCGCCAUACCCUGAUUAAUUAAGAAAUGAGCAUCUUUCCUCCCGUUGAGUUUAGAAAAACUGAAGAUGUCCUUCUCAUUGGGGCAUCACGUUUGUCGUCGAUGUUGACAUGGUGAGACCUUUCUUGUGCAAUGGUUCCAUCAUUGACCUGAUCUUUUUGCUGAAACUUUCCGACAAUUUUAUUUUUCUGCUGUUGUUUGUCUCAGGAAGAAGAAAAAAUCAAAGCUUCCGACCUCCGAAAAUUUCCUUCAAAGAACACUCAGCAUCUUAUCAAGAAGCUGUUCUUCGAAUCUGAUCUGUUCAGAUCCAUGGAGUCCCCGAACAAAUCUCGUGCUAUCAGGAA
rnacentral:lncRNA from 1 species